UACUCAAAGCCAGGCUACCUUUUCCAGAG
rnacentral:piRNA from 1 species